rnacentral:rRNA from 1 species
UGGCGGACGGGUGAGUAACGCGUGGAUAACCUGCCUCAUACAGGGGGAUAACAGUUGGAAACGGCUGUUAAUACCGCAUAAGCGCACGAAACCGCAUGGUUUUGUGUGAAAAACUCCGGUGGUAUGAGAUGGGUCCGCGUCUGAUUAGCUAGUUGGCAGGGUAACGGCCUACCAAGGCGACGAUCAGUAGCCGGCCUGAGAGGGUGUACGGCCACAUUGGGACUGAGACACGGCCCAAACUCCUACGGGAGGCAGCAG